GUUGUUGUGGAACAAAAGGACAAAACAUACACUGCAAAACAAGUUUCAAAUUUGCUUCUCUUGUUAAAUGGCUACCACUACUUUAUUAUUACCAAGGUAUUUUCGGUUUACAUGAUAGCAAGCAUUGCAUUUAUGGGAAAGCAUUGCAGUGGGAGCAGCAGUGCUGGUUUACUCUAUACUCUUGAAAUUCAUAAUUUAUGGGAAAAUUUAUGUAUGAUCAAUGACAUUGGUUGUUGGAUGAACAGAUGAGAUCAACGCAUGAUGAAAAUAUUAGAGAGACAACUGUUUUUGUGCAUCUUCUGCACUGUUGUGGUCUCUGAUUCUUGUCGCAGCAUUCUACCUUGUCGCGCCUUCAUCAUUGUGACGUCAAAUUUACUGUGGAGCUCUCUGGUUUAUUCAUCUCCUCGGGUUCUCCAUCUUGUCAUUAAUGUUGAAUGUUGAUCCUUUAAACAUUGUGGUUGAUGUGCCUCUUAGCUUGGUCCCAGAACCUUGCAUCAAAGGUUGGAAAAAUGCUAAAACAAAUUACAUAGUAGAGCAAUGCUGCAGAAGAUGUGUAUAUACCUAAAACCGAGUGAUCUUCAAUAUAGGCAAAUUUUAUAAAUUAUUAUGCUCUUGAAAGAUACUAGCACUAGGGAAAGGUUUUUAUGAAUUUUGUUUUGCUUCCCAAGAGGAUCCGAGCAAAUAAAGGCAAAAAAGUUCAAUGUUAGAA